rnacentral:rRNA from 1 species
UACGUAGGUGGCAAGCGUUAUCCGGAAUUAUUGGGCGUAAAGCGCGCGCAGGUGGUUUCUUAAGUCUGAUGUGAAAGCCCACGGCUCAACCGUGGAGGGUCAUUGGAAACUGGGAGACUUGAGUGCAGAAGAGGAAAGUGGAAUUCCAUGUGUAGCGGUGAAAUGCGUAGAGAUAUGAAGGAACACCAGUGGCGAAGGCGACUUUCUGGUCUGUAACUGACACUGAGGCGCGAAAGCGUGGGGAGCAAACAGG